GCAAGAUGGGUCAUUUUGUGAAAAACACUGAGAAGGAGCUGUCUAUGCAGCCAGCUGAAGGAGAUGCACAAGUCAGCCUUGGCCCUCAGAAGAGAUGGUGAAACAGAGCUAUGUUGACACCUGGCUGGCAGAACAGGGCUUCCUCAUGACUCAGAAAUAUAUAAACAAAAGCUUGGUAAAUUCAGAAAAAACAUCACAGAAGCUGGAUAGCAAAUCCUAGCGGCAGAGAAAAGAGGAGGACUUUAGUACUAAACAGUCUGAUAUUAACAGCAAAAAGAUUCUCCCUUGGUGCUCCAGAGGCUGUGGACUGGUGUAGCUCCAACCGAGCAGAGCCAAAGCUCCCUGCAGUGGAGCAGGCUGCCACCAAGUGCUGAUGGAGAUAGCAGAAGUUUUUGAGACGUGCUUUGUCUGGCCCCAAAAGCCCUCCUGCAGGAAAAAAAAGCCGAUGCUGACAGUAUUGUUAUGUAUGACAAGCUACAGUAGCUGUUCUAGUGCUGCGUGCCUGAAGAAGCAAAGUUUCUUCCUUUCUUGGCUGCUCUCUCAGAAAUUUCCUGUUUAAUGGGAAAGAUAAUCACUUUCUAGAAAAGAAUCAGACCAGAACUAAGGAUAGAAUAUGGUUAUUGGUAGAAAAAAAAUUCUUUGCCACAUCACGACCCAUGUCCAUGGUCAGGUCAGUAGACCGUCACUAUAUUCAACAAAAAUAAACUGAGAAUCACAGACCAUCGCUGGAAGACAGUGACUGUUCCUCUUGAUGCAGCUGGUAGUUCAAACAGUUCAUGAUCUUUGGCUGUACUAACUGGAAUUUGUUUCACAGACCAGCAUGAGGAUGCUGUCACAGAGAGUUAUAGCAUAAUUUUUGGCAGACAGAUUGUCCUUUCAAUUCUCUUUAAGUAGAGCUGGUUUGCAACCUACUUGGUACUCUUGAAUUUUAUGUAUUUACUGUUGUAAUAGGACAAUAGGUGUUGGGGGCUACGAGAAGCUUGAUCUUUUUCAAAAUCCUAUUAAGUUUAUGUAUGCCGAUACUGCUCACGAAUGGCAAUAUAUUUCAUGCAAAGAAAACUCUGUCCAACUUUAGAGUACUGCUAUUCUAUUUCAUAUGUGCUUUCAUCUUUCAAGAGGUGGGUGAGUAAACAGAAGACUCUAGGCUACCUUUACAAUACCCUUUCCCUACACUUUCGCAAUGUUUAUUACCACCUUCCUUGAGGUACAUAACCCUUUUCAGCCUAAUGACCAAAUAUCAGACAGGAAAUUUUAUCAGACAGGAAAUCUUCUAAAACGUUUUAGCACAUUGCUUCAAUCCACACUUUAAGAAUUAACAGUCACCAUAUCCCAAGUAAAUUGUAGGUGGUGGCAUAUUGCCUAACAUCCUGAUGUAAAUGUAAGACGAAGGCCUACUCCAGGGGGUGUAGUGCAACAUGAGAUCCAAGUGUACAGACUUUGUAGAUCAAGUUUUAUCUUAAUUUCAAAAAGCCUCUAAUUAUGCUCAAAUGUGUUCUUUCAGGCAUUCCUACAUCUGGCCUUCAGGAAAUCCCACAGUUAACUGCAGUCAGUGACUCUAUGUCACUGUCUUCUUGCAGGGGAUUUUAGACAUUGAAUCUAUACAGCCAUGUCACCUAACCAAAGGGACUUCCACCUCAUCCUGUUUCCAUGCUUUUGGUUUCCUCUAUGUUCAAGCUGCCUAGCUGUCCUAUUCUACCUGCAAUGCUGGAUGGGAGGAGCAAGAUUUGGCCUCUAAGAGCAUACUGGUUCACAAGGAACAUGCUGUUCUAGGAAGGGCACAGCAGGAAGAAAUGUCCUUCAUGGUUUUCAGGGUGAUGUCAGCCAGGUUUCAAAUUGGAGGCCACAGUUUUUACUGCCAGAGACCGUCACCCAUCUCCAGCACGUAGGAGCUCCACUUGGUUUAGAACUCAAGCAGCUCCAAAGGGAAAUUCUGAACAUCUUCACAGGUGAACUUCCAUAUACGGCCAUGAAGCCAUGAGCUGUGAUGGUUGGCAUGCAGAUACAUAUCAGCAUGCCAAAACUUCCACAGCAACAUGUAACUAGUAUACACAAACACAAUUACACAUACAUUUAUUGGGAGAAGGUAGUAGAGUGAUUCAAACGUGUGUCAACAGCUUCCCAGGGUGAGGAUUUAAAAGAGCUAUUUGGUGCAAUAAAGACUGAUGCUUAAUACACAAUUUUCCACAGGCUGCUUUUUUGCUUAGGCCAGCCGAGUGUGGCUGCAUUAGUGGGAAAACUGGAAGCCUUUUAAUGGGUGAGUAGUAGCUGAAACUGUGGGGGCAUUCACACCACCUUACGCAGCAUCUAAUUUCAGCUGCAGUCAAUCUGGUCUCUGGAUUUCCUAUACAGGCAG
ensembl:lncRNA